UGGGGAUUGAAGCGAUCUCCCCGUGAGGCGACAUGCCCAAGUAUCGC
rnacentral:ncRNA from 1 species